rnacentral:rRNA from 1 species
AACGAACGCUGGCGGCAGGCUUGACACAUGCAAGUCGAACGCCCCGCAAGGGGAGUGGCAGACGGGUGAGUAACGCGUGGGAACAUACCCUUUUCUACGGAAUAGCUCUGGGAAACUGGAAUUAAUACCGUAUACGCCCUACGGGGGAAAGAUUUAUCGGGGAAGGAUUGGCCCGCGUUGGAUUAGCUAGUUGGUGGGGUAAAGGCCUACCAAGGCGACGAUCCAUAGCUGGUCUGAGAGGAUGAUCAGCCACAUUGGGACUGAGACACGGCCCAAACUCCUACGGGAGGCAGCAGUGGGGAAUAUUGGACAAUGGGCGCAAGCCUGAUCCAGCCAUGCCGCGUGAGUGAUGAAGGCCUUAGGGUUGUAAAGCUCUUUCACCGAUGAAGAUAAUGACGGUAGUCGGAGAAGAAGCCCCGGCUAACUUCGUG